GCGCCUCAUUCCGAGUCGCUCAGUCCCCCAGGAGCCGCACUCCAUGGAUCUCAAGUCCUCCACCAAACAGGAAGUGCCGCUGAGGCUCCCGGAAAUGACACUCUCUGGACAGGGCACCUUUCAGUCCUCCCAAGGGCAGGCUCCGUGGGCCUGAGGUCCUCCAGCUGGCCCGGCGCUUGUGGGCUCUCCGCAGCAGAAGCUCCGCGUGCGGCAGUUCCGCCAGAAGCGGAGGAAAGCGCCCCAAAACCGGCCAGUGUAACGGAAAGAAGAAGACCCAACGCAGAGCUUCCCCUCAGGCCCGAGCGGGGCCGUGCAGCAGGCCGGCUGCUGUUGCACUGUUGCUGUUGUUGAUUUUGCUGCUGUAAGAAACAAGUUUUCUCGUGAAAUACUCAGGUCGGACUCUGCAGUGAAGCACUUCCAGCUGCCUCUUUCCAUCCUGUGCUUUACACACUGUAAACCUGAGGCAGAGAAGAAAUCACACUGCCACUCCACUUCCAGCCUUUACAGCUCCCGGUGGAACGCCCCCCUCCUUCCCUGGUGUCGAUGAUGAGUAGCAGGCAGGAGCCAGGUGUAUGAGCCACGGUCCCCACCCAGGGAAGAUUAUUCUGCUCCCGGUCUGCCCUGGAGUCAGCAUGCUGCCGAUGUCUCUCUCGAGAACCUGACUGAAGUUAAUCUGUUAGGGAAGGUGCAUUUGGACCUCAAGCAAAGCAGAGAAUGCCAAAUGAGUGCACUGCGUUUUGCUGGAGUUCCUCCUUUGGUAGAACCCAAUACCUUCUGUUUGUCAGCACUCUUGUCAUAAGCUGUGUGAGUUGCUAGUGUCAUCUCCUUUAGUGGGACCGGAGAGGCAGAGGGACAAGAUGAGCCCCGAAGAGCGACAUCAGGGCGAGCAAAGCGCCCCGGCGCCUUCAUCUCGCAGACACAUUUCGAUACCACAGCUCAGCAUCCCCUGUGCCCAGGGUCAGGGUGGCAAACUCAGAAAGUAUAACGAAACAGAAUUUUAUUUUAACAGGAUGAUACGAUUGGAAUAGGACGUAUGUUUUAGUCACAGCCUCAAUCAGGGUAAAUAUAUAGGGUUUGUGCUUAAGUUGGUGAGGGGUUAAAGGAACACUUACUACAUGAUAUUAGGACUGUAGCUACUACUCAUUGUUAAUUGAACAAACAGUUUAAAGCUGGCUUAACGAUUACUUAUGUAGUAGAGAUUAAUAGUACUUACCCUCUGAAGCUGACUGAGAGAAAAUCACCCACUGUCAAUGACAGGGGUAUCUUGGAAGGGUGUCUGCGCUCAGAGGGGAGUUUUCCAAACACGCUCCCAAGAAAAGUACGGGGGAAUCCUCGACCUCACAGAAAGGAGACAAGGUUUUAUCAAAUGUUUUGUGUUGUUUUUUUUUCUGUCCCACAUCUGAAUUUAUCUACCUUGCCUCCCUUUUUAAAAAUUCUUUCUCAACUGGUAAGUAUCUUCUAAAUUUUUAAGUUUACAUUAUGUCUUUGUUUAGUUUGUUGUGGCUGCUUUUUUUCCUUACAGAGAGACUAACAAGAGGACCAGCUUGUCAGGAGCUUAUAGUAAACCAUUUGCUUUGCAACCAGAGACGUUUUAGAAAAGGGAUCUCACAGGACCCAAUUCUGUUCUGUCAUUCUAUCCUCCUUGGGACAUAGCUCCAGUAGAAGACAGGUGGUACAGACUAAAAGCACGGAACUAAACAUGUUAUGCAGAGGGGGUUGAAAAUAAUUACUUAAACUAUAUAUAAGGCUGUGAAGUGUUGGAAUAGACAAAUCUCUCUAUUUAUUUUAUAUAUAAAGGGCACUGAGCCUCAAAGCAGACUCACCGCUGGCAUUUCUGCCAGACGCAAAGGCACAACCCUUUGUCGCCUUCUUUACGCCCUGGGGCCACUUUUCCAGCUGUUGGGUCCGGGGCAGAGGGUAAUGUGCUGUGGGGCUGAGGUCAUGGCCUUCUGUUCCCGAAGAAUGCAACCCGGGCUGCUUAGAUUUCUGUUCUGAAUGUCCAUUUUAGUUCACUCAUGCUAAUUUUCAAUGUUUUUAUUAUUUCCUUAAUC